UUCAUUUGAACAAAACAAAUAAUUUGUUGUUUUCCAGAGUCAGGCAAGAUAAGCUGAAAACCAAAACAAAGACAUGACUAACUUAGAGCGUGGAGUCCCAUUAAUGAUACAUUGACUUGAGACAAAAUUGCAUUCACAUGAAACUAAUCAUCCAAUGCUACAUUACUGCCUUUCAUGUUAAAGAAAGUCAAUUAAUCAAAAGCCCAUGAUGACAUACAAAUUAUAAAUGUCUUCUAGAAAAAAUUAAGGACUGCACUUUUAAGACCAAUCCAGGGUAGACCUUCCUGAUUAAGCCUAAAGGUCAAUGACCGCAACAGGCAUCUUAACGGCAACAGAGAGAGAUGCUAAAUAUCAGUAACAAAUUUCCUCUAAAAUAUCACACAGGGGAAUGAAGGGGCAAAGUGAAAGUUCACCAACAUAAUAGAAUUUAAUAUAUAAAUCAUUCAAGGCUCCAAAUAUUUAAACAAAUCAAUAAUAGAAAUAGAAUUCAGUAUUGCUUUUGCAAUAAAAGAAAUUACUUUAGACAGAUGAAAUUGAGAAGUUGAGAACUGAAC
rnacentral:misc_RNA from 1 species